GAUGAACGCUGGCGGCGUGCAUAACACAUUCAAGUCGAACGGAGUUACUGGAGAGCUUGCUCGAAGGUAACUUAGUGGCGGACGGGUGAGUAACGCGUGAGCAACCUGCCUUGGCAUGGGGGAUAACGUUUGGAAACGAACGCUAAUACCGCAUAUCGCAUAGACCUCGCAUGGGGAUUAUGCAAAAGAUUUAUUGUGCUAAGAUGGGCUCGCGUCCCAUUAGAUAGUUGGUGAGGUAACGGCCCACCAAGUCGACGAUGGGUAGCCGAACUGAGAGGUUGAACGGCCACAUUGGAACUGAGAUACGGUCCAGACUCCUACGGGAGGCAGCAGUGGGGAAUAUUGGGCAAUGGGCGAAAGCCUGACCCAGCGACGCCGCGUGAGGGAAGAAGGUCUUCGGAUUGUAAACCUUUGUKGAUAGGGACGAAGAAAAUGACGGUACCCUAUCGAGGAAGCCACGGCUAACUACGUGCCAGCAGCCGCGGUAAUACGUAGGUGGCAAGCGUUAUCCGGAUUUACUGGGUGUAAAGGGUGUGUAGGCGGGAAAGCAAGUCAGAUGUGAAAAUUAUGGGCUCAACUCAUAACCUGCGUCUGAAACUACUUUUCUUGAGAGUCGGAGAGGUAAACGGAAUUCCUGGUGUAGCGGUGAAAUGCGUAGAUAUCAGGAGGAACACCGGUGGCGAAGGCGGUUUACUGGACGACAACUGACGCUGAGACACGAAAGUGUGGGGAGCAAACAGGAUUAGAUACCCUGGUAGUCCACACUGUAAACGAUGAAUGCUAGGUGUGGGGCCGAAAGGUUCCGUGCCGCAGUUAACACAAUAAGCAUUCCACCUGGGGAGUACGGCCGCAAGGUUGAAACUCAAAGGAAUUGACGGGAGCCCGCACAAGCAGUGGAGUAUGUGGUUUAAUUCGACGCAACGCGAAGAACCUUACCAGGACUUGACAUCCCAGGAAUCCGGCGUAAUGGCUGGAGUGCCCUUCGGGGAAUCUGGUGACAGGUGGUGCAUGGUUGUCGUCAGCUCGUGUCGUGAGAUGUUGGGUUAAGUCCCGCAACGAGCGCAACCCUUACGGUUAGUUGCUACGAAAGAGCACUCUAGCCGGACUGCCGUUGACAAAACGGAGGAAGGUGGGGAYGACGUCAAAUCAUCAUGCCCCUUACGUUMUGGGCUACACACGUACUACAAUGGCGAAAACAAAGGGAAGCGAUACCGCGAGGUGGAGCAAAUCCCAUAAAAAUCGCCCCAGUUCAGACUGCAGGCUGCAACUCGCCUGCACGAAGUUGGAAUUGCUAGUAAUCGCGGAUCAGCAUGCCGCGGUGAAUACGUUCCCGGGCUUUGUACACACCGCCCGUCAAACCAUGAAAGAUGAAAACACCCGAAGCCUGUGGGCUAACCGCAAGGGGGCAGCAGUCGAAGGUGGGUUUAUUGAUUGGGG
rnacentral:rRNA from 1 species